rnacentral:rRNA from 1 species
CUCAGAAUCAACGCUGGCGGUGUGCCUCAGACAUGCAAGUCGAACGAUUAAAGCUCUCUUCGGAGAGUGUAUAGAGUGGCGCACGGGUGAGUAACACGUAAGUAAUCUACCUUCGAGUGGGGAAUAACAGUCGGAAACGACUGCUAAUACCGCAUAAUGCAGCGGCAUCGCAAGAUGACAGUUGUUAAAGGAGCAAUUCGCUUGAAGAGGAGCUUGCGGCAGAUUAGCUAGUUGGUAAGGUAAUGGCUUACCAAGGCUACGAUCUGUAACCGGUCUAAGAGGACGGUCGGUCACACUGACACUGAAUAACGGGUCAGACUCCUACGGGAGGCAGCAGUCGGGAAUUUUGGGCAAUGGGCGAAAGCCUGACCCAGCAACGCCGCGUGAAGGAUGAAGUAUUUCGGUAUGUAAACUUCGAAAGAAUAGGAAGAAUAAAUGACGGUACUAUUUAUAAGGUCCGGCUAACUACGUGCCAGCAGCCGCGGUAAUACGUAGGGACCAAGCGUUGUUCGGAUUUACUGGGCGUAAAGGGCGCGUAGGCGGCUUGUCAAGUCACUUGUGAAAUCUCCGGGCUUAACUCGGAACGGCCAAGUGAAACUGACAUGCUAGAGUGCAGAAGGGGCAAUCGGAAUUCUUGGUGUAGCGGUGAAAUGCGUAGAUAUCAAGAGGAACACCUGAGGUGAAGACGGGUUGCUGGGCUGACACUGACGCUGAGCGCGAAAGCCAGGGGAGCAACGGGAUUAGAUACCCCGGUAGUCCUGGCCCUAAACGAUGAAUACUUGGUGUCUGGAAGCCAUAA